rnacentral:rRNA from 1 species
UACGUAGGGUGCAAGCGUUGUCCGGAAUUAUUGGGCGUAAAGAGCUCGUAGGCGGUCUGUCGCGUCUGCUGUGAAAACUCGGGGCUUAACCCCGGGCCUGCAGUGGGUACGGGCAGACUAGGGUGCGGUAGGGGAGACUGGAAUUCCUGGUGUAGCGGUGGAAUGCGCAGAUAUCAGGAGGAACACCGAUGGCGAAGGCAGGUCUCUGGGCCGCAACUGACGCUGAGGAGCGAAAGCAUGGGGGAGCGAACAGG